GAUGAAGAACGUAGCGAAAUGCGAUAAGUAAUGUGAAUUGCAGAAUUCAGUGAACCAUCGAAUCUUUGAACGCACAUUGCGCCCGGCAGUAAUCUGCCGGGCAUGCCUGUCCGAGCGUCAUUUCUGCCCUCGAGCGAGUCCAGCAUCUAGGUGCUGGGCCCGCCCGGCGUUGGGGCACUACGGGAAGCCCUGUGCUGUCCCCCGUAGGCCCCGAAAUGAAGUGGCGGUCCUGCCGCGGCGCCCCCUGCGUAGUAUAACAGCUCGCUUCGGGACCCGGUGGAGGCCUGCCGUCAAACCUUACUCUCUAAGUUUGACCUCGGAUCAGGUAGGGUUACCCGCUGAACUUAAGCAUAUCAAUAAGCGGAGG
rnacentral:misc_RNA from 1 species